GUGUUUCCUGUUUGUGCCUCAGAAGCUGCUUCAAUCUCAGGAAGCGUUGACGAUGUCAUAGAAGAUGAUCUGCUCUGAGACCAAAGACGUACAUACAUAUCAAGCACUGACUGUCCACUCCUCAGAGAAGGAGACGUUUCCUCGUCUGACCCAAACUCAACCGCAUAAAUCCUCAUCGUGACGCCUUACCGACAGUUCUUUCCGCCAUAUUCACUUACUUGUUCGGUACGAUUCAUAUGUUUUGCCUUCAUGCUGUUCUGUUGCACCAAAUGCUGCUUUGCUCAUGUGUGUCGUUACUAUAUUUUGUGUUGAAGAAAUUAAGUGAGGAACAAAAACAGAAAGCCAGUAUUAUUUUUGAAAAGCACUGUGAUGAGUUACUGGAAUUAGAAGGCAGCUGGUCAGCUAAUACUGUCUAUUUUUUUCUCUACUUGUAUGUAUAUUAAGAUUUAUUGGCCUGAAUAUUAGGCUUCACAAGUUAUUAUAUUUUGGAAAAGAAACCAUACAGUAUUAUUGAAUGUGGUCCGCAAAUUGUGUUCAGUAUAAAAACGUGGCAUCUACUGUAUCAUUAACUAUGGACAGAGAAAAGUUGUAGUUUGUCUUCAGAGGUGUAGUAGACUGCACUAUAUAUAAUAAAGGAUUUAUUUUAUGUCA